CAAUAGCGUAUAUUAAAGUUGUUGCGGUUAAAAAGCUCGUAGUUGGAUUUCUGCUGAGAACGACCGGUCCGCCCUCUGGGUGUGUAUCUGGCUCUUUCUUGGCAUCUUCUUGGUGAACGUUGCUGCACUUGACUGUGUGGAGCGCUACCCAGGACUUUUACUUUGAGGAAAUUAGAGUGUUUCAAGCAGGCAUACGCCUUGAAUACAUUAGCAUGGAAUAAUAAGAUAGGACCUCGGUUCUAUUUUGUUGGUUUCUAGAGCUGAGGUAAUGAUUAAUAGGGAUAGUUGGGGGCAUUCGUAUUUAACUGUCAGAGGUGAAAUUCUUGGAUUUAUGAAAGACUAACAUCUGCGAAAGCAUUUGCCAAGGAUGUUUUCAUUGA
rnacentral:rRNA from 1 species